rnacentral:tRNA from 1 species
GCCUGGGUGGCUCAGUUGGUUGAGCAUCCGACUUUGACUCAGGUCAUGAUCUCACAGCUCGUGGGUUCGAGCCCCGUGUUGGGCU